GCAUUGCACGCACCUGAGCUCCCCGGGCUGGCCCGGCCUUCCGCCACGUGCUCCGUCACUGCUUCAGGCCGGGACUCAGCACUGCCACUACAGAUGGGGUGGUGGCACAUGGGGAGGAUGGGGAUGCCAUGGGAUGGUGGCACAUGGAAGGGUGGAGGUGUUCAGAAAUGGUGACACGUGGGCAGAGUGGAGGUGCCGUGGGAUGGUGGCACAUGGGAGGAUGGAGACGGUAUGCGAUGGUGGCACAGGGACAGGAUGGAGAUGUGGUGGGAUGGUGGCACAUGGAAGGGUGGAGAUGCCAUGGGAUGGUGGCAUGGGGACAGGAUGGAGAUGCCCUGGGAUGGUGGCACAUGGAAGGGUGGAGGUGUUCAGAAAUGGUGACACGUGGGCAGAGUGAAGGUGCCAUGGGAUGGUGGCACAUGGGAGGAUGGAGACGUUAUGCGAUGGUGGCACAGGAACAGGAUUGAGAUGCGGUGGGAUGGUGGCAUAGGGACAGGAUGGAGAUGCCCGAGGAUGGUGGUACAUGGAAGGAUGGAGAUGGGGUGGGAUGGUGGCACAUGGAAGGGUGGAGGUGUUCAGAAAUGGUGACACAUGGGCAGAGUGGAGGUGCUGUGGGAUGGUGGCACAUGGGAGGAUGGAGACAUCCAGUUUGGCACAGGGACAGGACGGAGAUGCGGUGGGAUGGUGGCACAUGGAAGGAUGGAGACGGUAUGCGAUGGUGGCACAGGGACAGGAUGGAGAUGUGGUGGGAUGGUGGCACAUGGAAGGGUGGAGACAUCCAGUUUGGCACAGGGACAGGAUGGGGAUGCGAUGGGAUGGUGGCACAGGGAUAGGACGGAGGCGCUGAGAAGCGGCGGCGCAGGGCAGGUGGGGGUGUUAUGGGCAGGUGGGGUUGUUAUGGGCCGGCGGCGCAGCGAAGGACGGAGGUGGGGACGCCGGGAGGCGGCGCAGUGCGGCCCGCUGUGGGGCGGCGCAGAGCUGCGGCGCUGGGAGCGUUUGGUUCUCAUUAUGGGCUGCUGGCAGCGGCGGUGGAAAAAAUAGCAGUGAGUGCAGAGCUGGGAGGGAGAGGGGCCGUGGAGGGGCGGCUGCGGUGUGCAAACAGCGAGCGGUGAGCACGGCCAGCGUGCAAAUACAGCGUGCAACGUGUGCUCAGCGUGCAACGUGCAAAUAAAGCGUGCAGCGUGUGUGCUUAGUGUGCAAGGAAAGCGUGCAACGUGUGCUCAGCGUGCAACGUGCAUAUAAAGUGUGCGGCAUGUGUGCUCAGUGUGCAAAGAAAGUGUGCAACGUGUGCUCAGCGUGCAUAUAAAGUGAGCAACGUGUGCUCACUGUGCAAGGAAAGCAUGCAAUGUGUGCUCAGAGUGCAACAUGCAAAUAAAGCGUGCAGUGUGUGUGCU
rnacentral:lncRNA from 1 species